GGGGAAUAUUGAACAAUGGGCGCAAGCCUGAUCCAGCCAUGCCGCGUGAGUGAUGAAGGCCCUAGGGUUGUAAAGCUCUUUCACCGGUGAAGAUAAUGACGGUAACCGGAGAAGAAGCCCCGGCUAACUUCGUGCCAGCAGCCGCGGUAAUACGAAGGGGGCUAGCGUUGUUCGGAAUUACUGGGCGUAAAGCGCACGUAGGCGGAUCGGUCAGUUAGGGGUGAAAUCCCAGGGCUCAACCCUGGAACUGCCUUUAAUACUGCCGGUCUGGAGUUCGAGAGAGGUGAGUGGAAUUCCGAGUGUAGAGGUGAAAUUCGUAGAUAUUCGGAGGAACACCAGUGGCGAAGGCGGCUCACUGGCUCGAUACUGACGCUGAGGUGCGAAAGCGUGGGGAGCAAAC
rnacentral:rRNA from 1 species